rnacentral:tRNA from 1 species
GGGGACGUGGCGCAGUGGGAGCGCAUCUGCCUGGCAGGCAGAGGGUCGUGGGUUCGAAUCCCAUCGUCUCCA